AACGAACGCUGGCGGCAUGCCUAACACAUGCAAGUCGAACGAUGCCUUCGGGCAUAGUGGCGCACGGGUGCGUAACGCGUGGGAAUCUGCCUUUCGGUUCGGAAUAACGCAGGGAAACUUGUGCUAAUACCGGAUAACGUCGCAAGACCAAAGAUUUAUCACCGAAAGAUGAGCCCGCGUAGGAUUAGCUAGUUGGUGAGGUAAAGGCUCACCAAGGCGACGAUCCUUAGCUGGGCUGAGAGGAUGAUCAGCCACACUGGGACUGAGACACGGCCCAGAAUCCUACAGGAGGCAGCAGUGGGGGAUAUUGGACAGUGGGCGGAGGCCUGAUCCAGCAAUGCCGCGUGAGUGAUGAAGGCCGUGGGGUUGUAAAGCUCUUUUACCCGGGAAGAUAAUGACGGUACCGGGAGAAUAAGCCCCGGCUAACUCCGUG
rnacentral:rRNA from 1 species